CACGUAGGCACCAAGCGUUGUCCGGAUUUAUUGGGCGUAAAGAGCUCGUAGGCGGUUUGGUAAGUCGGGUGUGAAAACUCUGGGCUCAACCCAGAGAGGCCACUCGAUACUGCUAUGACUUGAGUACGGUAGGGGAGUGGGGAAUUUCUAGUGUAGCGGUGAAAUGCGCAGAGAUCGGGAGGAACAUCCGUAGCGAAGGCGGCACUCUGGGCCGAUACUGACGCUGAGGAGCGAAAGCGUGGGGAGCGAACAGG
rnacentral:rRNA from 1 species